AGAGGCCCAUAGUAAUGUAUAAAGGUGAGUUGGAGAGUAGGUAGAGUAGGUGAGGACCACAGUAAUGUAUAAAGGUGAGUUAGAGAGUAGGUACGAGGACCAUAGUAAUGUAUAAGGUGAGUUGGAGAGUAGGUGAGUAGUGUGAGGACCAUAGUAAUGUAUAAAGGUGAGUUAGAGAGUAGGUAUGAGACCAUAGUAAUGUAUAAGGUGAGUUAGAGAGUAGGUAUGAGGACCAUAGUAAUGUAUAAAGGUGAGUUAGAGAGUAGUAUGAGACAAUAGUUGUAUAAGUGAGUUAGAGAGUAGGUAUGAGAACCAUAGUAAUGUAUAAAGGUGAGUUAGAGAGUAGGUAGAGACCAUAGUAAUGUAAUAAAGUGAGUUAGAAGUAGGUAUGAGAAACCAUAGUAAUGUAUAAAGGUGGUUAGAGAGUAGGUAUGAGGACCAUGUAAUGUAUAAAGGUGAGUUAGAGAGUAGGUAUGAGGACCAUAGUAAUGUAUAAAGUGUGAGUUAGAGAGUAGGUAUGAGGACCAUAGUAAUGUAUAAAGGUGAGUUAGAGAGUAGGUAUGAGAACCAUAGUAAUGUAUAAAGGUGAGUUAGAGAGUAGG
rnacentral:lncRNA from 1 species